CCUCUCACCCCACGAACCCUAGCGCUCCAGAUCCCACAUCGCUGCCGCCACCCACGCCGAUCCCAUCCCUCCCCUUGUCUCCCUCCCAAACCUUGCCGCCGGCGGCCUCUCCCCCUCCUCUCUGCUUCCCCCCACCUCAGGCGGAGCCCCCCACCUACCCAUCUCUCUCCAGCGACCCCUCUCUCUCCCCCGGGACUCAUCUUCGCCGCUAGGGUUUGCGGUGGCUUUGCCCCACGCUCUCGCCACGGCUCUUCGGCAACCAGGAUGCAACGCCGUCGACGGGAUCCGACGGGCGCGUUGCUCCGGCGAUCCGGUGACUCAGAUCCGUCGUCGCUCGAGGAAUGGAACGCCAUGGAUGGGAUGGCCACUUCCUCCCCUACUCUGACGCCAUAGAGGCCGCCUUCUCGCUGCAGCGUCUCCUCACCGCCGAGUCUCUCUAGGGUGGUCUGGUGGCUAUGAUCUCGACCCGCCCCAAUGGAUUGUCCGGCGUUGGCGUACACAGCGGAGGUGCUGCUGUUCCGCUACGCCAACCCCAUCUUCCAGCCCUCCGUCGCCCCACUAGCAAGCUGCAAGGAUGACAACGCCUCGCAGCACUCGCGCAAAGGGGUGCCCAACUCCGGCCUGUGUUCUAGCCAGAGUUUCACUAAUUCUUGUGCAACUCACUGGAUAUGAAAGAGAGGUUGAAAAGGCUGCAACCGAGGAAGAUAAGAAGAAGCCAGUGGACAAGGUGGUGAACUCGCUGUUCGAGAAGAGGCCGAAGCAGUUCGGCAUCGGCGGCACGCUACCGCUCAUGCCCCCUACCAUUGACCUGAACAGUGGCAUUUGAACACCACCACUACUAGUAUAAUUUAGCUUUAUUUUCUAAUCGGUGUUUGAGAUGGUCUUCCUGUUGGUGCAUGAGGAAGAGGAAGUGAAGUCAUUGAUUUGUCCACCGAGGAAGAGGAAGCGUGAAGUCUUUGAUCUGUCCAGAGGGAGCUCUAGGCUCAAGCAGUUGGAAAAAGGGAACGCUUCAUCUUUGUAGCUAAUUAUAUGUUCCUGGAUGAUGUGAAUGGCUGUUAUAGUACUUCAUAGCAGCACUUUUGUAGUUGUUCUAUAUUCCUGGAUGAUGUGAACUAUGGCAUGAUUGUAAUAUAUAUAAUAUACUCAUUUUGGUCGUCAUUUA